GAGUCGCAGAUUCGACCACCAAUCGCCGCCUCUAUUUUCGUAGACGUCGAGCCGGAGAGACGGGUCGCGCCUAUCGCGUGUUUCAGUGCGGCUUAGACUUCCAGUCGGACGGAGUCUCGGCCUGUUUCCAAACCCGACCAGCGAUACGAACUUCAUAUUAGAAAUUGUAGCCAGAAUAUUUAUGGAGAGACAAUUUUCCUUUUUAAGAAACAAAAAGUGACGUAAAUAGCACAAGCGUAAAACGGAUAUCGAAGAACUUCUGAUAAACCGGAGACUCAGAUAAUUGCCGGAGACACCGUUAUCAAGACCGAACGGAAAUAUUUUAUCGGUUACAAGCUAGUUCGUAGAGAGAGAGAGAGAGA